rnacentral:rRNA from 1 species
GGGAAUAUUGCACAAUGGGCGCAAGCCUGAUGCAGCAACGCCGCGUGAGUGAUGAAGGUCUUCGGAUUGUAAAGCUCUGUCUUUUGGGACGAUAAUGACGGUACCAAAGGAGGAAGCCACGGCUAACUACGUGCCAGCAACCGCGGUAAUACGUAGGUGGCAAGCGUUGUCCGGAUUUACUGGGCGUAAAGGGUGCGUAGGUGGAUAUUUAAGUCAGAUGUGAAACCCCUGGGCUCAACUCAGGGACUGCAUUUGAAACUGGAUAUCUGGAGUGCAGGAGAGGUAAGUGGAAUUCCUAGUGUAACGGUGAAAUGCGUAGAGAUUAGGAAGAACACCAGUGGCGAAGGCGACUUACUGGACUGUAACUGACACUGAGGCACGAAAGCGUGGGUAGCCAACAGGAUUAGAUACCCUGGUAGUCCACGCCGUAAACGAUGAGUACUAGGUGUAGGGGGUAUCGACUCCCUCUGUGCCGCAGUUAACACAAUAAGUACUCCGCCUGGGAGUACGAUCGCAAGU